rnacentral:rRNA from 1 species
AGUGAACGCUGGCGGUAGGCCUAACACAUGCAAGUCGAACGGCAGCACAGUAAGAGCUUGCUCUUACGGGUGGCGAGUGGCGGACGGGUGAGGAGUACAUCGGAAUCUACUUUUUCGUGGGGGAUAACGUAGGGAAACUUACGCUAAUACAGCAUACGACCUACGGGUGAAAGCAGGGGAUCUUCGGACCUUGCGCGAUUGAAUGAGCCGAUGUCGGAUUAGCUAGUUGGCGGGGUAAAGGCCCACCAAGGCGACGAUCCGUAGCUGGUCUGAGAGGAUGGUCGGCCACACUGGAACUGAGACACGGUCCAGACUCCUACGGGAGGCAGCAGUGGGGAAUAUUGGACAAUGGGCGCAAGCCUGAUCCAGCCAUACCGCGUGUGUGAAGAAGGCCUUCGGGUUGUAAAGCCCUUUUGUUGGGAAAGAAAAGCAGCAGGUUAAUACCCCGCUGUUCUGACGGUACUCAAAGAAUAAGCACCGGCUAACUUCGUG